UGUAGCGGCUGUCUGUGACCGAGUGGCACGAAGGGAGAUGAAGGGCUUCUGGUCCUCAGAUCUCCGGAGUCAUGCGUGCCGAUGUACGGCCCGAUCCCAAGAUGGGUGUCAACAUAGUCCUUCCUACGGAGGUAGAAGGGUCUCGGUUGUCUAAGGAGGGGGGCACCGCGUUAGGCCGGAAACGGAACAGCGAAAACCCGCCGCACUCAUCUGUGG
rnacentral:SRP_RNA from 1 species